UACGUAGGGUGCGAGCGUUGUCCGGAAUUAUUGGGCGUAAAGAGCCCGUAGGCGGUCUGUCGCGUCGAUCGUGAAAACUUGGGGCUUAACCCUGAGCUUGCGGUCGAUACGGGCAUGACUGGAGUUCGGCAGGGGAGACUGGAAUUCCUGGUGUAGCGGUGAAAUGCGCAGAUAUCGGGAAGAACACCCGUGGCGAAGGCGGUUCUCUGGGACGGUACUGACGCUGAGACGCGAAAGCGUGGGGAGCGAACAGG
rnacentral:rRNA from 1 species